GCAGCCGCGGUAAUACGUAGGUGGCAAGCGUUAUCCGGAAUUAUUGGGCGUAAAGCGCGCGCAGGCGGUUUCUUAAGUCUGAUGUGAAAGCCCACGGCUCAACCGGGGAGGGUCAUUGGAAACUGGGGAACUUGAGUGCAGAAGAGAAAAGCGGAAUUCCACGUGUAGCGGUGAAAUGCGUAGAGAUGUGGAGGAACACCAGUGGCGAAGGCGGCUUUUUGGUCUGUAACUGA
rnacentral:rRNA from 1 species